rnacentral:rRNA from 1 species
UACGAAGGGGGCUAGCGUUGCUCGGAAUCACUGGGCGUAAAGGGUGCGUAGGCGGGUUUUUAAGUCAGGGGUGAAAUCCUGGAGCUCAACUCCAGAACUGCCUUCGAUACUGGCAAUCUUGAGUCCGGGAGAGGUGAGUGGAACUCCGAGUGUAGAGGUGAAAUUCGUAGAUAUUCGGAAGAACACCAGUGGCGAAGGCGGCUCACUGGCCCGAUACUGACGCUGAGGCACGAAAGCGUGGGGAGCAAACAGG